UACGAGAGCCUCGAGCGUUAUCCGGAAUUAUUGGGCGUAAAGGGUGCGUAGGUGGCGUCGUUAGUCGAGUGUCAAAUCUCCAGGCUUAACCUGGAAUCCGCACUCGAAACGGCAAUGCUUGAGAGGAGAAGAGGUGUGCAGAACUCAGGGUGUAGGGGUGAAAUCCGUUGAUCUCCUGGGGAAUACCAAAAGCGAAGGCAGCACACUGGUCUCUUUCUGACACUGAAGCACGAAAGCGUGGGUAGCGAAUGGG
rnacentral:rRNA from 1 species